UCUUCUUCCUCUCGUGCGCUCUCGAUCUCCUGGCAACAUCUGACUUGGGUUCCCUUCUGUCUUCACUCGCUGGAGGCUUUCUUCCUUCUUCCCUUCUUCAACCGUGGCUUCCCUGUUUCCGUGAGCCUCUUUCUUCUUUGCUGUUCACAGUACAUGCAACAAGGGAAGGUAUGCUUUUGAUAUUCAUUUGAUCUACCAUUGGAGCCGUAGAAAGGUUGAUUUGCAUACUACACUUUUUGAUCUAUCAUUGUGGCUGCAGAAGGGUGAUCCGAUCAGGUUGUUUCUUGCUUUAUAUUUGGUUUUAUCUUGCCUCCUAUUGUGAUCAUUUGGCAGUCCAUACUUUGGGCUCUUAUGUAUCUAUGCUUGUACCCUAUUGGGAAGAUUGACAUAGUGGAUUGCUCCUCCUCCCCGUGGAUGUAGGCACUUGCUGCCGAACCACGUAAAUUUGGUGUCUUUGUGCUUAUCUUUUCAUGCCUGUGAUGUGUUUGAUGGAAUGCCUGAAUGAGACCAAUUGUUAAAUUGGUAAGCCGG
rnacentral:lncRNA from 1 species